UGGGGAAUAUUGCACAAUGGGCGCAAGCCUGAUGCAGCCAUGCCGCGUGUAUGAAGAAGGCCUUCGGGUUGUAAAGUACUUUCAGCGAGGAGGAAGGCGUUGUGGUUAAUAACCGCAACGAUUGACGUUACUCGCAGAAGAAGCACCGGCUAACUCCGUGCCAGCAGCCGCGGUAAUACGGAGGGUGCAAGCGUUAAUCGGAAUUACUGGGCGUAAAGCGCACGCCGGCGGUCUGUCAAAUCGGAUGUGAAAUCCCCGGGCUCAACCUGGGAACUGCAUCCGAAACUGGCAGGCUAGAGUCUUGUAGAGGGGGGUAGAAUUCCAGGUGUAGCGGUGAAAUGCGUAGAGAUCUGGAGGAAUACCGGUGGCGAAGGCGGCCCCCUGGACAAAGACUGACGCUCAGGUGCGAAAGCGUGGGGAGCAAACA
rnacentral:rRNA from 1 species